CUUUCCCUCUUUCUUUAGGCCUAACACAUGCAAGUCGAACGGCAGCACAGUAAGAGCUUGCUCUUACGGGUGGCGAGUGGCGGACGGGUGAGGAAUACAUCGGAAUCUACUUUUUCGUGUGGGAUAACGUAGGGAAACUUACGCUAAUACCGCAUACGACCUACGGGUGAAAGCAGGGGAUCUUCGGACCUUGCGCGAUUGAAUGAGCCGAUGUCGGAUGAGCUAGUUGGCGGGGUAAAGGCCCACCAAGGCGACGAUCCGUAGCUGGUCUGAGAGGAAGAAUAGCUAGCCUGGAAGAGAGACACGUUACAGACUGUUGGGGUAGGAAGCGGCGCGGACUCUUGGACGAUGGAGGCAAGCGUGAUCCAGCGAUAUGGGGUGGAUGAAGACGGAGUCCGGGUUGUAGAGCCAUUUUGUUGUGAAAAAAGAAAAGUACUUUAACAGGGCGCGAUACUGACGGUACCCAAAGAAGAAGCACCGGCUAACUUCGUG
rnacentral:rRNA from 1 species